rnacentral:rRNA from 1 species
GACGAACGCUGGCGGCGUGCUUAACACAUGCAAGUCGAACGGAAAGGCCCUGCUUUUGUGGGGUGCUCGAGUGGCGAAAGGGUGAGUAACACGUGAGUAACCUGCCCUUGACUUUGGGAUAACUUCAGGAAACUGGGGCUAAUACCGGAUAGGAGCUCCUGCUGCAUGGUGGGGGUUGGAAAGUUUCGGCGGUUGGGGAUGGACUCGCGGCUUAUCAGCUUGUUGGUGGGGUAGUGGCUUACCAAGGCUUUGACGGGUAGCCGGCCUGAGAGGGUGACCGGCCACAUUGGGACUGAGAUACGGCCCAGACUCCUACGGGAGACAGCAGUGGGGAAUAUUGCACAAUGGGCGGAAGCCUGAUGCAGCAACGCCGCGUGCGGGAUGACGGCCUUCGGGUUGUAAACCGCUUUCGCCUGUGACGAAGCGUGAGUGACGGUAAUGGGUAAAGAAGCACCGGCUAACUACGUG